GCAGGUGUCACUUGAAUGAUUGGAUAAUUUAUUUUUGUAGUUUGACACGUAUAAAAUGAAACUUACAUUAUUAUUUCAGGAAUUGUUCCAUUGCCAUUUUGGUCACUUCCUUUGGCCAAAGUUGAGAUUAUUUAAUUUCAGAUGAACUCAACCGAACAAGAAUGUUGUUAUUUUUAGAACAAUGUUCCAAUGACAAUAUUGAUACCAAUAUUGUUCCAAAGUAAAGAUUAAAAUCAUAGCAGCUAUGAGGAAGGUCAGACCAUGAGAUCACCUGGAAACCACCCUGGAGAGGAAGGCAACACUCAUGCAAAUGCUGGAUCCCUGUAGAGCUGCACUCCAAGUCAGCAGUUAGAGACAGGUCUGCUGCUGAAUAGGGCAGACUGAAGGAUGGACAAGUCGCUAGGGGCAACCAGUUAGCAGAACACACUCUGGGAAGUGACUGGCGACACUGAUGGAAUCAGAACAGACAAAACCCUCCACCCCGCCCUGCCCAGCAGAAUCCUCUCCAUCAUUGAGUUCUGUGAGUCUGUGAUGAUGUCCAGUUCCACUGGACUAGAACAUGUGAGGCUGAUGACUGAAGCUCAUCUCUAGGGGAGGAUGAAUGCAGCAUGCAGACUCACCCAGACCCCCAACACACUGGGGCCCACUUUCCACAUCCCCCUAACACAAACUUUGUUCACCAGGGCCACUAACAAGACAGGGACCCCAUACCGACCCAUCAGACUGGAAAGACGUUGGGAGGGUUUGAUUGGAUCUAAACUUUGUCGUCCCUCAAAACUCGCAAUCCCAUAAAAUA